rnacentral:misc_RNA from 1 species
GUGAAUCAUCAAAUUUUUGAACGCAAAUUGCACUCUCCUCGGAGAGUAUGCCUGUUUGAGUGUCAGCCUAUAAAAAAUCGACAUCGUUGCUGUUUCGCGGUGGCGUUCGUCGGAAAUUGGGUUAUCUUAAAUCCUUUUGGGUUUUAAGCGGCUUAAAAUUUUCUUUUUGGUUUUAUGAAUGUUUUUAAGAUUUAUUUCUUGUCAUGUUUAAGGUAUCGAUUUUUAUUAGACUUGACAAUCGUAUCG